UUAGAAGAACUGAGUUAUUCUUGAGAGAGAUGCUUAUAGAAACUUAGUUAGCUCGAUGAAUGAAUAAGAUGGUGUGGUGUUGAAGUUGAUUUAGUUUCGGGAGAAGAAUGAACUGAUGCUGCUGAGGAUUGAUAGUUAGAGUUUGGUUUUGAAGAUGAAGAAUUAAGAAAAGCUGAGUACGAUCGAGGAAUAGAUGAUGGAGGUGAUGCUGAUUCAAGUAGUUGAUCCUGAUUUACAAGAAAAAGAUUCAAAGGACGAACCAGCGGAUUAUGGAAUUCGAGGUAGAUAUGGUUUUCCUACAAAACAGUUUCAGUAAUACGAAGGAAUGAAGCGUGCGAAGAUACCCGAUUUUGUAUCUUAGGGCUCUUCUGAUUAUAGUGUUGUCAUGUAUCUGUAUUAUAUGUAUUAUUUUUUUAUUCUGUAAAACAACAUAUUUAUAUAACA